CUCAAAACACUCACCAGCCAACGUUAGGUUCAUUGCUUCAGAGCUUCAGCCUUCAAGAUGGAUCUUUGAGGUUCACUUUCUUCUUCAUUGACUCUUUUAAAUUCAAGUUUCUUAAUUGUAUUUUGUGAUAAGUUUUUCUCGCUUUUUUCUUCCUUAAUUUUUUUUUUUUGCUUUAAUCUUUUUCUUGUGCAAUUAGUGAUUUUUUUAGAGAAUAUAAAGACAUGAAGUUUAUAGAUGUGACUAGUUUUAUUUCCCCUGAUCCAUUUGUGGAAAGGAAAAUUGGAUGAAAAUGACUAUAAACAAAAUAAUAUUUAACAACCAUCCAAAUAAGUUGUUGAUGAAGAUGGAGAUACUCUUACUCAAAUUUCGACAAACAUUCAUCAUCUGAAUCAAAUUUUGAUAUUUAUUCUUUUAAAUUAUUGUUCUCUAUUGUUUUUUCUCUAUAAAUAAUAAAUGAAUGUCAAUAUUAUUUUCUGAUUUAUUCAUGCAUCUUCACGAAUAAAUACUCAAGUUUCCUUAGUGCACCAAGGGUGUUUGAUAAUAUGCCUACAUCGAGAUGGAUCUUUGAUUCAGCACUAAAGGUUGGUCAAGCUGUCAACUAAUAAUUAUUCUUCCUUUCCUCGCUUCUUAGUGAACUUUUUUUGUACUGUUGAAGGGAGAGAGGUAGAAAAGAGAUAUGCGAUACAGAAAUACCAAGACAAAUAAAUAAAAAAUGUCUUUUUUUCGUUUUCUUAGGUGAAGGAGAAAAGGAAAAAAUAUAUGAUUGUUAUUUGUGCAAUUUGAACCAUUCAAUUCCAGGUAGAGUCUAAGUUAUUCAUAAAAUGAAUUGACCCUCAACUCCCUCUAAUUCUAUAUAGAAGCAACAUUACGUGCCUCAUUAUGAAAAACCAUUUUUUUUUCCAUUUUAUCACAGCUAAACUGGAAGGAUUAGAGUCAUUUUUUUGCUUCCUGGAGAAUACAGCAGGGUACUUGAAUGUUUCUCAUAAUAUCAAAAUAAUUUAGAAUAAUUGAAGGAUCUUCUCUAGAUUUGGUAACAACAUUUGAUGUUGGACCUAAUUAAUGUGCGAAAUGAUAGUUAAGUUGUCUGUAUGCGGUCAUCAUCAGUUGUAUUGGUUUAUGAAUGCUCACGGAAUCAAAUAAUGCAUUUAUUGCAAAUGAUGUAUCUUUACAUUUGAGUUUUAUGCAUGAUCAAUGUAAAUGUUUUUUUGCACUAUCAAGUUAGUGGACUUUCAUUAACCUUCUUGAUAAAAUGUGCUAUCCACAUGUCAAAAUUAUUUACGUUACGUUGACAAUGUAUAUUAUUUAUUAAACUCUUACGUUUUAUUGUGCUUUCUAUUCUGGCUUUGAAAUUUGGGGGCUAAGAAAAAGGUUGGGAUGUUCAUUGUUCAACUAAUUUGAGAUAUUAGACGAUAUUGAUGUAAUGAAAUUGGAAGAUGGUGUAAUUCAAAACAUGGUAAAGUCUCUGAUUUGUAUUCAUAAGUUGCAAUCCUUGAUUGUUUUUCAUUGUAUUGAGUUCUUUUUCAUAAUGUUGGCAAUUUUGACAAAUCUACAAUGAUUUUAACUCCACCAUAUCCAUACUUGGUCACCCAUGGAAGAAGUUUGAAAAGAUAAUUCAGCAAUUAUUUGAAAAUCUUUCCUCAUGUUGGGAACCAAAAUGAGGUACAAGAAGCAAUGUAAAGUGUACUUCAAACAAAACUUGAAUUGUACGAGUAGGGUUAAAAUAGUAAAUUCACUUUAUUCACUCUCUCACCUCUGCUUCUACUCUUUCUUCUAUGCCUGACAACUUUCAUGGCAAAUUGACAACCAUUUUAAACCUUCAACGGAGUUAAACUUUACUUCAGAGUCUCACUCCAACUUCUCAAGUUCUUUCAAUUGUUUACCUGGUAAGUAUUCUUGUGUGGUAUUGGUCCUCUUUUCAUGCGAAUCUUUACUCUUUUUUUCCCAUUAUUGUGGUUAUACUUCCUAUUAUUCUACUGAUUUUUCUUAUUUUAGGUCUUCCACAAUUUUUCUUGGAUUCUUUUGAGUUCUGAUAGAUGCCUCUUGAAAUAUAUGCAUAAUUUUGUUUUCAAUAUUUUGCAGUUUCUAGCUCUAAAAUACUAAAAAUAUUAGUAAAAUCUUCUUAUCAAUAUAUGAUACGUUUUGCAGAUAAUUAAUGACUUGAUGCGGUCGCAUGUUUGACGAAAUUUCCCGUGAAGGUAAGACUUGUGUAUUAUGAAGAGAGAUUAGUUAUAAGAGUAGAUUGUUUUGGCAGAUGAUUCAAGGUGCUAAUGAAGUUGAACGGUGGGCUUAGGUGAAUAGGCAUUUUCCCUUAUAAAAUCUUUUUUUCAUAUGGUAUUUUCCCCAAAAAAUAUUGAGAAAGAAUUUGAGUUGCCGAACUCUUUGACGCUGCCAUGAAAUUAGAAGUGAUAACGUAAUGCUGAAAAUUCAGGGUAAGCUUUCAGCAUUGAUCUUUUUGUUGUUUGAAUUACAUCUUCGAAAAAAAUUCAGCUACUAAUAUAGUAAGUUGAGGUGGUAUUCAAAGAAACAUUAUUUAAAUUACAAAGUCAGAAUAACAAGCAAGUUGAAUCAGGCGAAAAGGUUGAUUUCAGGCUCACCAAUUUCCAAGUCCUUUAAGGUACCAUUCCACAUUUUCUUAAGAACCUUUAAAAUUUUUGGCAAUAGACCGUGAUGUUGGUGUUGCAUUUAUUUUUAGCAGAUGUUCUUGGAUAAAAGCUGAAACUUUAAUAUUGAAAAUUCUGUUACUAGAUUGAGUUCUAGAAGUCUGUCAUAUGAUCUUAUGCUUUCUCAAAGUUUUUGUUUCAUGUGUUCAUAUUAGUUAGAUACAAUUGAUAAUGUUAAAAACAUUUUUCAUCUGAUCAAUGCAGAAAAAAAUGAACAUAAGAAAUCUAGCAAAUAAGUAAUAAUGUUGACGCUAGAAAAUUUUUGAGAAAUGAGAGAGUAAUAAAAUGUCCGGGUAAUGGAAGAAUCCUAUAAGACUAUUAAUUUAACGCAGAAACAAACUCUUUUCUUUAAUCUUGAGUUUGUUGCUCAAGAGUAGCUACUAACUCCUAAACUUUUUUAUAUCAUAUGUGAAACAGGAGUAGUAAUUUGAGUAUGCAAUAUAAUAAUAUUGUGUUAAGAGUGUUGUCAUAUGUUUCUUAUAGAGUAAUAUCGACUUCAUGUUUUCUCUUUUAUUUGUAGCAUAAUAUUCUUUCAUCAGAAUUUUGUGUCAUGAUCAUUAAUGGGUUCCUUGUGCUUUGCUUAUUGCAUUUGAAGGUUUGGCAAUGAAAUAGAUGAAAAAAUGGAGGUUUUUGCUUGGUCCAAGUAUGAGCUCUAAAAUGUCUGUGAUUAUCUUUCGCAAACAUUUUUUAGCUAAUUUAUUCUCACAUUCAUUUUUU
rnacentral:lncRNA from 1 species